UCUUGGUUGGAUCUGCCAGUGUGCAUACGCUCUUUUUAAAGACUAAGCCAUGCAGGUGAUAGUUCAUACAUUUAAAAUGUGAGACUGCGGAAGGCUCAGUAAAUCAGUUAUAAUCUGCUCGAUUGUAUAGGUUAUUGGAUAACCGUGGGAAAUCUAGAGCUAAUACAUGUAAUUGGGGAAUAAUCUCGGUUAUUCUCAUGGCAUUUAUUAGACAAUUACCAAUCGUGGGGCAACUCAUGUGGUGAAUCUAGAUAACUUAGCAGAUCGUAUGGCCUAGUGCCGGCGAUGUUUCGAUUGAAUUUCUGCCCUAUCAACUAUUGUCGGUAGUGUAGUGGACUACCGAGGUUUUUACGGGUGACGGGGGAUCAGGGUUCGAUUCCGGAGAGGGAGCCUGAGAAACGGCUACCACAUCCAAGGAAGGCAGCAGGCGCGCAAAUUACCCAAUCCAGACAAUGGGAGGUGGUGACGAAAAGUACCAGAUGACGGCCAAAGGUUGUCAAUCUGGAAUGGAAUCAAUUUAAGCAAUUGAUUGAGGAACGACUUGAGGGCAAGUCUGGUGCCAGCAGCCGCGGUAAUUCCAGCUCAAGUAGCGUAUCCCAAAGUUGCUGCGCUUAAAACGCUCGUAGUUGGAUCACAAACUAUAUGCGAGUUGGCGUGGUACUGUUCCAAAUGUAAGGAUUCAACGGAAUGUCCUCAUUUCGCGGAUGAUUUAUGUGGUGCAGUUUCAUUGCCGUAGGCUUGUGUGUAGUAAUUGCACGUGAGGAUAGACAUUCGCCUUGAAUGAGUAGAUGUCUGUGUCUCACGGAGUGUGCCUUGAAUAAAUCAAAGUGCUUAAAGCAGGCUAUACGCUUGAAUGUUAAAGCAUGGAACGAACAAUCGUGUAGGGUGCAUGAUGAUUUAUGGGUGCAGGGCCUAGCCAGGCAUUCAUCAUCAUGUGACACCGACCACCAAUAACGGAUGUUGGUUCCGUAUUGGGGUAUUGAUUAAGAGGAGCGGUUGGGGGCAUUGGUAUUUGGCAGCGAGAGGUGAAAUUCUUGGACCUGCCAAGGACUAACAAAUGCGAAGGCAUCUGUCCAGACCGUAUCCAUUAAUCAAGAACGAUAGUGAGAGGUUCGAAGACGAUCAGAUACCGUCCUAGUUCUCACUGUAAACCAUGCCGACCCGGGAUCAGUUUGGAGCUUUAUUCCAUGCUCGGAGUUGGUCCCCCUGGGAAACCUAAAGUUUUUCGGUUGCGGGGGGAGUAUGGUCGCAAGGCUGAAACUUAAAGGAAUUGACGGAAGGGCACCACCAGGGGUGGAGCCUGCGGCUUAAUUUGACUCAACACGGGAAAACUUACCUGGUCCGAACAUCCGUAGGAUACACAGACUAAUAGAUCUUUGUUGAUGGGGUGAAAAGUGGUGCAUGGCCGUUCUUAGUUCGUGGAGUG
rnacentral:rRNA from 1 species